rnacentral:rRNA from 1 species
GACGAACGCUGGCGGCGUGCCUAAUACAUGCAAGUAGAACGCUGAAGCGAGGAGCUUGCUCUUCUUGGAUGAGUUGCGAACGGGUGAGUAACGCGUAGGUAACCUGCCUUGUAGCGGGGGAUAACUAUUGGAAACGAUAGCUAAUACCGCAUAACAAUGGAUGACACAUGUCAUUUAUUUGAAAGGGGCAAUUGCUCCACUACAAGAUGGACCUGCGUUGUAUUAGCUAGUAGGUGAGGUAACGGCUCACCUAGGCGACGAUACAUAGCCGACCUGAGAGGGUGAUCGGCCACACUGGGACUGAGACACGGCCCAGACUCCUACGGGAGGCAGCAGUAGGGAAUCUUCGGCAAUGGCGGCAACCCUGACCGAGCAACGCCGCGUGAGUGAAGAAGGUUUUCGGAUCGUAAAGCUCUGUUGUAAGUCAAGAACGAGUGUGAGAGUGGAAAGUUCACACUGUGACGGUAGCUUACCAGAAAGGGACGGCUAACUACGUG